UCUCACUCGAUUUUUUAUACAUUGUUAAGUAUGAAAUAAUAAAAAGCAAGGAAGAUUAGAAUGGCCCUUGUGCAAGGAUGACACGCAAAAUUGUGAAGCGUUCCAUAUUUUU